rnacentral:lncRNA from 1 species
UCGUGGGGCUGGGCCAAAGUUUUCCAGAAGGCCAUGUAUGCUCUGAAUCAGUGUCCAAUAUAUGAUACUGUUUCUUCCAUAGCCAGGAUUCACUGGUCCAGGAUUCACUGGUCCAGGAAUCAAAGGGUGGAAGUGGAAGUGUCACCACUCACCAUCACCCCUAGUGAUCCACUAGCAAAAUUGUUGCUUCCUAUUCCUGCGACAUUACAUUCUGCUGGCCAGAGGUCUUAGUUCCAGAGGGAGGAACGCUGCCACCAGAAGAGACAAUAACGAUUCCAUUAAACUGGAAGUUAAGAUUGCCACCUGGACACUUUGGACUCCUCUUACUUUUAAGUCAACAGGCUAAGAAGGGAGUUACAGUGUUGGCUGGGGUGAUUGACCCGGACUAUCACAAUGAAAUCAGUCUACUACUCCACAAUGGAGAAUCCAAGUUCUUCAGUUUUGGACUGGCUCUCCUUGCUCCUCAGCCUGCAGAUGGCCUAUUGCGGGACCUUGUGAUCAGGU